rnacentral:rRNA from 1 species
UACGUAGGGGGCAAGCGUUAUCCGGAUUUACUGGGUGUAAAGGGAGCGUAGACGGCAGCGCAAGUCUGGAGUGAAAUCCCAUGGCUUAACCAUGGAACUGCUUUGGAAACUGCGGGUCUUGAGUGAGCGAGAAGUAUGCGGAAUGCGUGGUGUAGCGGUGAAAUGCAUAGAUAUCACGCAGAACUCCGAUUGCGAAGGCAGCAUACCGGCGCCCAACUGACGCUGAAGCACGAAAGCGUGGGUAUCGAACAGG